UACGAAGGGGGCUAGCGUUGUCCGGAAUCAUUGGGCGUAAAGGGCGCGUAGGUGGCGGGACAAGCGUGCGGUGAAAGCCUGGGGCUCAACCCCGGGUCGGCCGUGCGAACUGUUUUGCUUGAGCACUGUAGAGGCAGGCGGAAUUCCGGGUGUAGCGGUGGAAUGCGUAGAGAUCCGGAAGAACACCGGUGGCGAAGGCGGCCUGCUGGGCAGUAGCUGACACUGAGGCGCGACAGCGUGGGGAGCAAACGGGGU
rnacentral:rRNA from 1 species